rnacentral:rRNA from 1 species
GGAGUCUGGGCCGUGUCUCAGUCCCAAUGUGGCCGUUCAACCUCUCAGUCCGGCUACUGAUCGUCGACUUGGUGAGCCGUUACCUCACCAACUAUCUAAUCAGACGCGAGCCCAUCUCUGAGCGAUAAAUCUUUGAUAGCCAAAAGAUGCCAUUCGACUAUGUUAUGAGGUAUUACCAUCCGUUUCCAGAGGCUAUCCCUCUCUCAGAGGCAGGUUGCUCACGUGUUACUCACCCGUCCGCCACUAAGAAUAAAGACGAAUCCUUAUUCUCCGUUCGACUUGCAUGUGUUAAGCGUGCCGCCAGCGUUCGUCCUGAGCCACUGAUCAAACUCU